GACGGAGGAUGCAAGUGUUAUCCGGAAUCACUGGGCGUAAAGCGUCUGUAGGUGGUUCAAUAAGUCAACUGUUAAAUCUUGAGGCUCAACUUCAAAAUCGCAGUCGAAACUAUUGGACUCGAGUAUAGUAGGGGUAAAGGGAAUUUCCAGUGGAGCGGUGAAAUGCGUAGAGAUUGGAAAGACCACCGAUGGCGAAGGCACUCUACUGGGCCAUGACUGACACUGAGAGACGAAAGCGUGGGUAGCAAACAGG
rnacentral:rRNA from 1 species